UACGGGGGGGGCAAGCGUUGUUCGGAAUUACUGGGCGUAAAGGGCGCGUAGGCGGCCUGUUAAGUCGAACGUGAAAUCCCCGGGCUCAACCCGGGAACUGCGUCCGAUACUGGCAGGCUUGAAUCCGGGAGAGGGAUGUGGAAUUCCAGGUGUAGCGGUGAAAUGCGUAGAUAUCUGGAGGAACACCGGUGGCGAAGGCGGCAUCCUGGACCGGUAUUGACGCUGAGGCGCGAAAGCUAGGGGAGCAAACGGG
rnacentral:rRNA from 1 species